UACGUAGGGUGCGAGCGUUGUCCGGAUUUAUUGGGCGUAAAGAGCGUGUAGGCGGCCAGGUAGGUCGGUUGUGAAAACUGGAGGCUUAACCUUCAGACGUCGACCGAAACCAUCUGGCUAGAGUCCGGAAGAGGAGAGUGGAAUUCCUGGUGUAGCGGUGAAAUGCGCAGAUAUCAGGAGGAACACCGAUGGCGAAGGCAGGUCUCUGGGCAUUAACUGACGCUGAGGAGCGAAAGCAUGGGGAGCGAACAGG
rnacentral:rRNA from 1 species